GGAGCUGACACUGCGUUGAAACAUGGGGAGAUGAGGGAGGCACCAUGCAGGGCUGGAGCUUUUGCUCGUAGUCCCCACGCUCGAUGGAGAAACGGGAGGAAGAACAUGCUCCAGUACCCCUAUCCGGAUCCGAGGCGGAGCUGGAGGCCAACAACGGCAGCCAUGGCUGCGAGUCCUGGCGAAAAUAGAAAGCACACAGAUGAGAGAGGGAAAAGUGGAGAAGGAGGAGGAAUAAAAAAAGGAGGGUC
rnacentral:lncRNA from 1 species